rnacentral:rRNA from 1 species
GACGGAGAAGGCUAGGCAAGCUUGGCGUUGGUUGUCCAAGUGAAAGUGAGUAGGCUGAAGACUUAGGUAAAUCCGGGUUUUCAAGGCCGAGACACGAGACGAGCUCCCAAGGGAGUGAAGUUGUUGAUGCCCUGCUUCCAGGAAAAGCUUCUAAACUUAUGAUUAUAUGAACCGUACCCCAAACCGACACAGGUGGUCAGGUAGAGAAUACUAAGGCGCUUGAGAGAACUCGGGAGAAGGAACUCGGCAAAUUGGUACCGUAACUUCGGGAUAAGGUACGCCCUGGU